AGCAUUUGUUUUAGUGUUAUUGACAAUUAUGUUUAAAUGUCCUUAUAUGAAUGUAUCAUUAACGAGAUGAAAGCACUUACUACAGACGAGAUUUUGAUGUCUGCUUUUUCUUCAUUUUAAACUUUUUAACUCUAACCAAUUGUUAGUAUACCAUUGAUAUGAAGAUUGGUGAUAUAUUUUUCACUUCUUUUUCAAUUUUUUGUUUCUUUUGAAGAAAAGUCGUUUAUAGGGUAUUGAUAUAUCGACAUUCACGCAAACUACAUUGAAAGUUUUUUCAUCGGGAAUUUUUGUUUCAACAGCCUGGAUUUGUACUAUUUGAAGAAUUCCUCCGGCAUUUCUCAAUGGCGGUCUCCCAGCUAGAAGGUGCGAAGGAUUCCGAGAUUAUUUCGUUUGGAUUUUACUAUUCGGGUUGACAAAACAGAGCCACUUACAGACAACAUUGACAAAUUUGAUAGUCCCUGGUUCAAGGACUUGUUCCAAUUCUCACGAUUUCCGUGACGGAUAGCAUCUACUGAAGGAUCAAGAAACAACACAAGAUUUCGAAAGAUGCAGGUCGUCAAGGAGCAUUGGAAUGACUGCAACAUGAUUACAGUAAAUCACCCCAUAGUAAAGGACCUACAGAGAUUUACUAUAUACAAUAGUAAUAAGCUGAAACAGAACAACAAAUACAUUAUCCCUGUCAGAGAACAUGAGAAUGAGAAGGCCUUGGCAAAUUUCCAGGAAUUUCAUAAAUAUUGUUUUCAUUAAUAAAAUAAACAAAACUCGA